rnacentral:rRNA from 1 species
CCUACGGGUGGCUGCAGUGGGGAAUAUUGGACAAUGGGCGAAAGCCUGAUCCAGCCAUGCCGCGUGUGUGAAGAAGGCCUUCGGGUUGUAAAGCACUUUCAGUGGGGAAGAAAGCCUUGGGGCUAAUACCCUCGAGGAAGGACAUCACCCACAGAAGAAGCACCGGCUAACUCCGUGCCAGCAGCCGCGGUAAUACGGAGGGUGCGAGCGUUAAUCGGAAUUAAUGGGCGUAAAGCGCGCGUAGGCGGUCUGAUAAGCCGGUUGUGAAAGCCCCGGGCUCAACCUGGGAACGGCAUCCGGAACUGUCAGGCUAGAGUGCAGGAGAGGAAGGUAGAAUUCCCGGUGUAGCGGUGAAAUGCGUAGAGAUCGGGAGGAAUACCAGUGGCGAAGGCGGCCUUCUGGACUGACACUGACGCUGAGGUGCGAAAGCGUGGGUAGCAAACAGGAUUAGAUACCCGAGUAGUC